rnacentral:lncRNA from 1 species
GAGGAGGAGAAAAUCAGGGUUUUAAGGGUCGGAGAGCUAGCCUCAUGCUUCAAAAAAGACAAAGAAUUGGGGUUUUUUUUUCUUCAUAGGGUUUAGAGAGGUCUGAGGCAAUUGUUGCUGAAAGUCAGUGUUAUAUUGGUGAACUCGAUUUUCUGUAAGAGAGGAAAAGGCUGGUACUCUUGAUUGUUGAUGGAAUGGGAGAUACUUCUGUGGUUGAAAUUCAGAGUUGUCUAGAAGGUUGAGUAUGCUGAAUGCAUGUGUGGUUGUGUUAAUCUGACUGUACGGAUAGAGGAUAUCUGCCAACAGUGUAAAGAGAUAUUGGGAGUUGGCAAAUUAGGGUUGUUUAGGGUUUCUAUGAUAAGUGGGGACCUAUCAACAGGGAUAAGAGGAAUAUCGGUGAGCAGCCAAGGGACAUUGUGAGCUAAAUUCCUCCAUCCUUAAUUGCGUUUAGUAGUCAAGUGGAUUAACUUCACUCACACGCAAUUUUUAUAAACCCGAAGUUCAUUCAUAAAUCCUAAGUUCAUCCAUAAAUCCUAAGUUCAUCCAUAACCCUAAGUUCAUCUAGAAACCCUAAGUUCAUCCAUAAAUCCUAAGUUCAUCCAUAAACCCUAAGUUCAUCUAGAAACCUUAAGUUCAUUUAGAAACCCUAAGUUCAUCCAUAAACCCUAAAUUCGUUCAUCCUAAAUUUCCAUUCAUCAAUCAUCCAUCCCUUAAAUCUCAUUCAUCCCAUAAAAUUCAUUCAUUCAAAGUUUGUUCAUCCAAUUUUCAUCUAAAGAUUCAUCCUAAAAAUUAAAGAAAAUUGGAAGUUGCCACCUUCCAAGUCAUGGUAGCGACCCCCUUGCACGAAUUCCACUACCAUGGUUGCAUCACUAACUUGUUUAUAACAAGCUUUGCUAUUUUAGAAAGUAGACUUACAAGCGCUUGUCCUCCAACAAAAUUCAAUGCAAAACAACAAUUAAGCUAAAAGAAAUCUUGCCUCAAAGUUGCCUGACUUUCUCGGCCUAGUCAGAGCACCCCUGGCCACAAAAAUCCUUGCCCUUGCUCCAUUCCAGUUGUGCAAUGCAUAUGCUUUAGCAUUCCAGAAACUAGAAUUGAAGCCGCAUCACCUCCAACAAUUUUCUCUUAAAAAUCUUGAGUGAAUUCCAAGAUAUGACCUUCCAAAGUAGCUUGAGUUGGCGGAGUGCUACAUCUUCACCACGGCCAACUCCUCUUCACUCCAACCACCAUAACUUCCUUGGCCUUUACUCAAUCUAAGCGUGAAAAUAGUCCUUGCAAAGCUGACAACAAGAACCAUCCCCCACAAAAGUUUCAGCUCCAAAUUCAAUACUUUCCGCCAAAAAUCGCCUUCCAAAUUCGGACCUCCAGAUCUGGCCGGCAGCUGACCUCCUUGUCACUAAAACCACCACAACUUUCUUGUUUUCUCUCCAAACAAAGCGUGCCUACUGUCCCGAGGAAGCUAACGACAAGAUCUAACUAUUGGUAAAGUUUGACGUUCUAUUUCCAGAUUACUAAUACACUACAGUUGCGCAAUUGCAGCUCUAUAGAAACAAGGGUACGUGGGGAUGCAAUUUGGCAUGGCUUCGCCCCCAAAAAAUAAAAAGAGAGAGAGAAAAAAUGAGUGUGGCCACCUCCACCCUCUUAUCCAAGUAGGAAGAGACCAAAGGGUGGCGGCCACAUCUCCACCAUCCGAAUCCAC